AGAGUUUGAUCAUGGCUCAGAACGAACGCUGGCGGCAGGCUUAACACAUGCAAGUCGAACGGGCCCUUCGGGGUCAGUGGCAGACGGGUGAGUAACACGUGGGAACGUGCCCUUCAGUUCGGAAUAACCCAGGGAAACUUGGGCUAAUACCGGAUACGCCCGAAAGGGGAAAGAUUAAUCGCUGAAGGAUCGGCCCGCGUCUGAUUAGCUAGUUGGUGAGGUAAAGGCUCACCAAGGCGACGAUCAGUAGCUGGUCUGAGAGGAUGAUCAGCCACACUGGGACUGAGACACGGCCCAGACUCCUACGGGAGGCAGCAGUGGGGAAUAUUGGACAAUGGGCGCAAGCCUGAUCCAGCCAUGCCGCGUGAGUGAUGAAGGCCUUAGGGUUGUAAAGCUCUUUCGGCGGGGACGAUAAUGACGGUACCCGCAGAAGAAGCCCCGGCUAACUUCGUGCCAGCAGCCGCGGUAAUACGAAGGGGGCUAGCGUUGUUCGGAAUCACUGGGCGUAAAGGGCGCGUAGGCGGCUUUGUAAGUCGGGGGUGAAAGCCUGUGGCUCAACCACAGAAUUGCCUUCGAUACUGCGUGGCUUGAGACCGGAAGAGGUAAGUGGAACUGCGAGUGUAGAGGUGAAAUUCGUAGAUAUUCGCAAGAACACCAGUGGCGGAGGCGGCUUACUGGUCCGGUUCUGACGCUGAGGCGCGAAAGCGUGGGGAGCAAACAGGAUUAGAUACCCUAGUAGUCC
rnacentral:rRNA from 1 species